GCCCCGUGCAGUGGGCUGAGGCCCGGAUGCUUGUUUCCACGCCUGCUCCAGCCUUGGGCCCUGAUGGGGUUGGGGGCGGGGUAGAGGCCGAGGAUCUCUCCCUUAGGGAUCAGCCAGGUGAUCCCAGAGGCGGGCAAGUCAGCUUAUCUUUAAGCAAACCGCGGGCGCUAGAAUGCAGGAAAGUGGGGGGUCAUCCCCUUGGCAAACAAGGAACCGGGCUGAGACGGGUGGGAACCCAAGCAAGGUCACGCAGCCGCCAGGGAGCAGGACUGGGCCUUGCCCCACAGUUUGAAACCUAUGGUUUUCAUUCGGCCGCGCACCUGGGGUGGGGCCGAGGCCCUGCGGCCCACUAUGUUCUGGGCAUCUGGGGACUGACCUCUGUUGACAUGUUUCUGCCUGCAGGUGGCUCGAGAGCUGGAGGAGCCAGUGGGGUGGCAGGAGGGGCAGCAGCCAGAGGCAAGCGGGAAACCGGGAACUGUGGGCCUGAGAGCUGGAGUCCAGUGCCUGGCCUGCGUCAGCCAGCUGUGGGGCCCCGGACAAACUGCGGAGGGUGUCUGAGCCUGUUUCUUCAUCUGUGAAACGGCUGCGGAGUCUAGGUAUGUCCCGAAUAUUCCACGAGUACGCCCAUACAACGGGAUAGUUGGCCAUAAGAAAGAAUGAAGUGCUGAGACACGCUACAGCCUGCGUACGCCUUGAAAACACUCGAGGCGAGCGCAGCUGGUCAUAAAAGAUCAUGUACCGUGGAUCCCAUUUACGUGGAAUGUCCCGGACAGAUAAGAACCGCCCUCCUCCGCGAUCCACACCCACGCCCGAGAACCACCGCUGACCGCGAAACGCCACUCUCUAGAAGACCACCCCGGCUCCGUGACUGGGACACUCCGUGGCCCUUUCCGCUAGUCUGAGAGGG